GAUGAAGAACUUAGCGAAAUGCGAUAAGUAAUGUGAAUUGCAGAAUUCAGUGAAUCAUCGAAUCUUUGAACGCACCUUGCGCCCUUUGGCUAUUCCGAAGGGCAUGCCUGUUUGAGUAUCAUGAACACCUCAACCCUCAUGGUUUGCCAUGACGGGCUUGGACUUUGGGGGUCUUGCUGGAUUGUAGUCAGCUCCCCUUAAACAAAUCAGCUUGCCAGUGUUUGGUGGCAUCACAGGUGUGAUAACUAUCUACGCUUGUGGUUUUACAUCAGAUAACCUUCAGUGAUGGAGGUUCACUGGAGCUCAUAAAGGUGUCUCUCCUCUGUGAGGACAGCUCUUUGAAUGUUUGAUCUCAAAUCAGGCAGGACUACCCGCUGAACUUAAGCAUAUCAAUAAGCGGAGGA
rnacentral:misc_RNA from 1 species